GUGCAGCGGCGAGAAUUUUUCUCAAUGGGGGCAACCCUGAAGGAGCGACGCCGCGUGGAGGAUGAAGGCUUUCGGGUUGUAAACUCCUGUCAUUUGAGAACAAGUGGCCGAACCUAACUACUUCGGCCUUGAUAGUAUCAGAAGAGGAAGGGACGGCUAACUCUGUGCCAGCAGCCGCGGUAAUACAGAGGUCCCAAGCGUUGUUCGGAUUCAUUGGGCGUAAAGGGUGCGUAGGUGGCGCCGUCAGUGGGGUGUGAAAUUUCGGAGCUUAACUCCGAAACUGCAUUCCAUACUGCGGUGCUUGAGGACUGGAGAGGAGACUGGAAUUUACGGUGUAGCAGUGAAAUGCGUAGAGAUCGUAAGGAAGACCAGUGGCGAAGGCGGGUCUCUGGACAGUUCCUGACACUGAGGCACGAAGGCCAGGGGAGCAAACGGGAUUAGAUACCCGUGUAGU
rnacentral:rRNA from 1 species